GGGGGCUAUGCCAAGACUCAGUUGGGCCAGGCGCUUGUGGAAGAAAGUGAGAACUUUUUCUCUCUGUCAAAAGAGGUCAUCAGGCACACCUGGGAGCGCUCCCACUGGGCAGGCUGAUGAGUAACCUGUCAUUUCCCCGCACGAGAGGUCUCCAGGCCCUUUAUGAGGAGCAAGUAGUCUUGGUUACCCCUUCUGGCAACAGUAUUGGACAGCAGAUGAACUUCAGAGAGGAAAGAAGGAAGUGAUGGGAGGAUCCCACCUCUGCUCACCAGUGACAUCCUCAACCACCAAUGAGAGAGCCCUUGCAAGCAUUACCUCAUCCGGGACAACGGCCAUUGGCUCCCAGUACUAGAAAAGCCUAAAGAUUUCCAAAAGGCUCAGCUUUUGGCAUUAACCCUUCCCCAGGCAGGUCUGGUCUCUCUUAGGAGCCAGUGUCACCCCUGGGAAAAUGACUCUGUUCACACCUACUAUCUCACACUGUGGAUGCUUGGGACCUUCCCACUCAGAGACCGUGUAGGCCAGUGCUGGGCAGAACUACAUUGAAAGCCAUGUGCGUAAUUUUAAAGUUUCUA
rnacentral:lncRNA from 1 species